CAGCAGCCGCGGUAAUACGUAGGUGGCAAGCGUUGUCCGGAAUUAUUGGGCGUAAAGGGCCCGCAGGCGGUUUCUUAAGUCUGAUGUGAAAGCCCCCGGCUCAACCGGGGAGGGCCAUUGGAAACUGGGAAACUUGAGUGCAGAAGAGGAGAGUGGAAUUCCACGUGUAGCGGUGGAAUGCGUAGAGAUGUGGAGGAACACCAGUGGCGAAGGCGACUCUCUGGUCUGUAACUGACACUGAGGAGCGAAAGCGUGGGGAGCGAACAGGAUUAGAUACCCCAGUAGUCCCUGUCUCUUAUAC
rnacentral:rRNA from 1 species